rnacentral:rRNA from 1 species
UACAGAGGUCUCAAGCGUUGUUCGGAUUCAUUGGGCGUAAAGGGUGCGUAGGCGGCGCGGUAAGUCGGGUGUGAAAUUUCGAGGCUUAACUUCGAAACUGCAUUCGAUACUGCCGUGCUAGAGGACUGGAGAGGAGACUGGAAUUUACGGUGUAGCGGUGAAAUGCGUAGAUAUCAGGAAGAACACCCGUGGCGAAGGCGGCUCUCUGGGACGGUACUGACGCUGAGACGCGAAAGCGUGGGGAGCGAACAGG